UUGAGGAUUGAACAAUUUGGGAUGAGAAAGUUACAAAAGUAAUGAACAAACAAAGAAAAUGGGUGUGUUCAUGUUGUAUCUCCAGGGAGGCAGGGGCAACCGUGGACUUUUUGCUUGAAUAGCUGGAAAGCCAGAAACAAACAUCCCACACAUUCAUCGGAGGACCUGAGGCCAGUACCACUGAAGAUUGCUGUUGUAAUAUCUAAAGGAUCCACUUACCAGUUCUCUCACCAGAUUGGACUUCAGAGCACCCACAGAUCUUGACUUCUUGCCACCUCAAUACAAACAGUUUUAUUUUACGAGAAAUGUAGCUCCACGUGCCUGCAAUAAGAAGAACUGCUAUUAAAUGAUGCAUAAAUGAGUCACUUCCUGAAACAACUACAUCACUCUCUCUCCAUCUGAGGGUCUAGUUCACAUUCCUCUUGCUCCACUCAUCCCAACAGCUCAUGAUGUUACUGCCACAGGUUGUUUUAGUGACUUCACUUUGGUCUUAUGCACAUGGAGAAAUAACUAUCACCCAAACUCCGGAGUUCACCUUGAAAAGGGAAAAUGCUACUGUACGUAUGUAUUGCAUUCUUCAGGGCAUCUCUGGAAAUAUUGCCAAUGCCAUCAUUCACUGGUAUCAUCAGAGCCCUGGUGAAGCUCCAAAGAGAAUUCUGUACUUCACAUCAGGAAAAUCCACUGUUGAUGACAGCUCUCAGGAAAAGAGUUUUCAAGUUGCCCUAGAUUCUCAAAAAUCCCGCUAUACUUUCUAUGUCAAUGGUAUAAAGAAAAUGGAUGCUGGUAUUUACUACUGUGCUUACUGGGACACCCACAGUGUUAGAAAACCAUGAAUAACCUGUACAAAAACUCACUCCUCAUUUUCAACCAUAUUGUUAUAACCGUAUGAAACCACA